rnacentral:tRNA from 1 species
GGGGGCUCUGCUGGUGCAGCGACGUGCGUGUCAAGCUCGACUCGGCCGGGUUCGAUUCCCGGAGCCUCCA